rnacentral:lncRNA from 1 species
CUUGAAUUUGAAAGUGACGUGUUUAGUUCCAGCGGAAAGUAGGUUUUGGCAUACAGUUUCUAGAUACAGUCAAGUACACACGUAACAAUUUUUUAAGAAAAUAAAUUAAAUAAGUUUGUUUUCAAUAUUGUUAGAAGUUUUCUGCCAAAAUUUGUUGUGAUAAUUCUAUUUACUAUUUUUCGUCAAAAUAUGGGUUGUGCAAAAAGGAGCGAAAAGAAAAAAUAUGCACCUCAGAAAGUUGGACCUAUCACAAAUAACGGCUUUUUGAAUUUCCUGCGUGAAUAUAAACAGCGGCACUGCGGCUUGUCCCCUCGGAAGAUGGUUAGCAGCGGGGCUAAAUCCUGGAAUAAACUAAGCUGCAAGAAGAAGGACGCCUACCGUAAAAUGGGCGAGAAGGCCGGAAAGUCCCGACGACACAAACGUAGUUCCAAGAAAUGUGAGUAAAAAUGUAAUAGAUAUUUAUUAUUUUAAGUUAAAUUUAAACAUCGAAUUCAAUAUACAGCCGAUUGCAAGCAAAAGCAUCACUAAACCUACAGUUUACCACGGAGAUUCGUAAAUGUAACAGCAAAAUGCAUUAGCCUUUAUAACUUUAUAUAUUUAAAAGUAAUAUCAAAACAUACUUUGAUUCAAUUCUUAAAAUAUAAAGAGAUUGUGCAAUUCUGAAAUGGGUUUGCUGAAACGUGCCAUGAGAAAGAGACAACUGAGGUAUUGUCGAUUUUCUGGGUUGGUACUAAAUGCUGUAUAAUCAAGUUUUUUCCUAGGUUCCAACAACGCCUGAUCCUAAUUUAUAUUUCCAAUGGACUUCAGUCUGUACAAAAGCCAGAAAAACUUAUCAGAAAUUGCAAAUCUACCUUCAAAUUCCCACUACUUCUCACCGAUGGCAAGCGUAACAGAAAUCUAUAUUUUCGAAUGAGGUCCAGUUGCGAUGUUCGGUUUGGCAAUUCAAUAAGUCAUUGUUAUCUUUUGUUGCCAUGUAACCACAAUAAAUGUUUAAUGUAAGAGUUACUUGAUGGAGAACUAG